rnacentral:rRNA from 1 species
UAGAGUUUGAUCAUGGCUCAGAUUGAACGCUGGCGGCAGGCCUAACACAUGCAAGUCGAACGGUAACAGGAAGCAGCUUGCUGUUUCGCUGACGAGUGGCGGACGGGUGAGUAAUGUCUGGGAAACUGCCUGAUGGAGGGGGACAACUACUGGAAACGGUAGCUAAUACCGCAUAACGUCGCAAGACCAAAGAGGGGGACCUUCGGGCCUCUUGCCAUCGGAUGUGCCCAGAUGGGAUUAGCUAGUAGGUGGGGUAACGGCUCACCUAGGCGACGAUCCCUAGCUGGUCUGAGAGGAUGACCAGCCACACUGGAACUGAGACACGGUCCAGACUCCUACGGGAGGCAGCAGUGGGGAAUAUUGCACAAUGGGCGCAAGCCUGAUGCAGCCAUGCCGCGUGUAUGAAGAAGGCCUUCGGGUUGUAAAGUACUUUCAGCGGGGAGGAAGGGAGUAAAGUUAAUACCUUUGCUCAUUGACGUUACCCGCAGAAGAAGCACCGGCUAACUCCGUGCCAGCAGCCGCGGUAAUACA